rnacentral:rRNA from 1 species
CCUACGGGAGGCAGCAGUGGGGAAUAUUGGACAAUGGGGGCAACCCUGAUCCAGCAAUGCCGCGUGUGUGAAGGAGGUCUUCGGAUUGUAAAGCACUUUCGACGGGGACGAUGAGGACGGUACCCGUAGAAGAAGCCCCGGCUAACUUCGUGCCAGCAGCCGCGGUAAUA